UACGGAGGAUGCGAGCGUUAUCCGGAUUUAUUGGGUUUAAAGGGUGCGUAGGCGGACGGUCAAGUCAGCGGUAAAAAUGCGGUGCUCAACGCCGUACAGCCGUUGAAACUGGCAGUCUUGAGUGGGCGAGAAGUACGCGGAAUGCGCGGUGUAGCGGUGAAAUGCUUAGAUAUCGCGCAGAACCCCGAUUGCGAAGGCAGCGUACCGGCUCCACACUGACGCUGAGGCACGAAAGCGUGGGUAUCGAACAGG
rnacentral:rRNA from 1 species